rnacentral:rRNA from 1 species
UCCUACGGGAGGCAGCAGUCGGGAAUAUUGCGCAAUGGAGGAAACUCUGACGCAGUGACGCCGCGUGCAGGAAGAAGGUUUUCGGAUUGUAAACUGCUUUAGACAGGGAAGAAAGAAAUGACGGUACCUGUAGAAUAAGCUCCGGCUAACUACGUGCCAGCAGCCGCGGUAAUACGUAGGGAGCAAGCGUUAUCCGGAUUUAUUGGGUGUAAAGGGAGUGUAGGUGGCAUAACAAGUCAGAAGUGAAAGCCCGGGGCUCAACCGCGGGACUGCUUUUGAAACUGUUAAGCUUGAGUGCAGGAGAG